AUACGGAGGGUGCAAGCGUUGUUCGGAAUUACUGGGCGUAAAGCGUGUGCAGGCGGCCAGAUUAGUCAUAUGUGAAAGCCCUCGGCUCAACCGAGGAAGUGCAUGUGAUACUGUCUGGCUUGAGUCCUGGAGAGGGGUGUGGAAUUCCCGGUGUAGAGGUGAAAUUCGUAGAUAUCGGGAGGAACACCAGUGGCGAAGGCGACACCCUGGAUGGAGACUGACGCUGAUACACGAAAGCGUGGGGAGCAAACAGGAUUAGAAACCCUAGUAGUCC
rnacentral:rRNA from 1 species